rnacentral:rRNA from 1 species
GACGAACGCUGGCGGCGUGCUUAACACAUGCAAGUCGAACGGUAAGGCCCUUCGGGGUACACGAGUGGCGAACGGGUGAGUAACACGUGGGUGAUCUGCCCUGCACUUCGGGAUAAGCCUGGGGAACUGGGUCUAAUACCGGAUAGGACCACUGCCUGCAUGGGUGGUGGUGGAAAGCUUUUGCGGUGUGGGAUGGGCCCGCGGCCUAUCAGGUUGUUGGUGGGGUGAUGGCCUACCAAGGCGACGACGGGUAGCCGGCCUGAGAGGGUGACCGGCCACACUGGGACUGAGAUACGGCCCAGACUCCGACGGGAGGCAGCAGUGGGGAAGAUUGAACAAUGGGCGCAAGCCUGAUGCAGCGACGCCGCGUGAGGGAUGACGGCCUUCGGGUUGUAAACCUCUUUCAGCACCGACGAAGCGCAAGUGACGGUAGGUGCAGAAGAAGGACCGGCCAACUACGUGCCAGCCGCCGCCGUAA